AAUGAGGCUCCCGGAACCGGGUGGGUGGGGCCCCGCGGGAGCUUCGUGCUGGGGAGAGCUCAGCGGCUGCUGGUAUUGAGGGUCGUGUGCGGCUGUGGGUGUACCUGCAGGUGGGAUUCGUAUGUCACCGGCCUCGCUGGGCCGGGUUCGUGACGUCAGAAAACAUGAAGGUAGCUGAAUCCAGGCCAGAACUAACAUUUGCUCAAGAUUGGGUCUCAAAAAGCUUUUGUAAGGCCAGACAUAUCUCAGGAAGGCCUAACUAAUCUCAGGAAGCAGCCCACACGUGGAAAAAGCCUAUUACCGAGUCGAAAUCCUCUUAAGGAGAUGGAGUAGGCAGAAUCGUCCUCACGAUCACCUGUCUGGGAAAUUUGAGCUGAUGGCACCUGAACAGCACUGCAGCUCCAAGUAAGAACACCACCUUUUAUUCUCAGGUUCAUUUUAUUGCCUAAAUAAUUCUGUCACCUGCCUUCUCCCUAGGGGCUGAGCUAGUAAGAGAUUGUUACAUCUAUCAGCAAGUCCGUCUGGUUCACUGAAAUUCAUCUCACAAAUAGUAGCUGGUCAAAAGAUGAGAAAGUAGCACAAAGUGGUCUAAUUUGUGUAAGUCCCUCCCCCACCCCCAACACACACAACUUUGGAGGGGGGAGAGCACUAGCUUCGCUUUCACUGGAGCAGCAACCUGUAAAGUACAGGAUCCUUUCAGAGCAUUCAGAUAUGUCCUCAAUCAGGGCCGAUAUUUAUCCCAGUUGUUCUUGGUAUUUUAUUCAAGUUAAACUUGCAAUGAUUCAGUCUUCCACUGAAAGUUACUUUUCUCCUAAAUCUUCAUAACCUGGAGUGAGUACAAUUUGUUUAGGCAUAUACAAAAGGUAAUGAUGCAUUCAUAAAAUAAAUAAAGAGCAGGCAAAAAAUUUUUUUCCUUGUAGAUUUCUGCUAAAUAUUUUAAGAAUCAGUGGGGAUUGUGAUACUUAUUCAUUUUUUAACCAUGGGUCAGAUUGGCUGCACUCUGUCCACCCCCCUAGUCUGUGGCCAGAAUGGAGUUUCCCAAACUUGGUGUCAUAGUGGUCAAGAACCCAUGUUCUGCAGCCACCUGGGUUCGAAUUGUGACUCUGCUAUAGGGAAAAGAAUGGCCUGGAGGUGAUAAGAGUGUCUCCAUCAUGAGCUGGGAGUGAGAAUUCCUUUGGUUAAUAUAAGUGAAAUAUUUAAAUAGCGACUAGCUAAUCAUAAGUGCUACAUAUUAGCUUGAUUAUAUUCCACAGAACAUUAGUUGCAAGAGACGUUCCUGGGGAAAUGAGAGUCUGUGUUCAAAUAAGAUUGGAAAGACUUCACGCUAACGUAUUUCAUGAAAUCUAUGAAGCUAUCCUAUCAAUUAGGUACCACUAAGAAAGACAAAGCAGGACACAGGCUCUCCUGGGGAUUUGGCAGUUCUGAUUUCUGUUUUAUUGCUUUCUUGGCACUUGGUAGGUAAUCCUUUUAUACCUAUCUCAGUAACAAAAUACACCCCCAACCCCUGGAUAUCUUCCUUUAAGUUCGAUCAAGCACUUGGUUGUUUCUUUGCAAGAAACUAUGGAAUGGUUAAUCCUGCAAGAAUGAAGCUUUGUCUCUCUAACUGCUCUGGCUCCAUACCUUUUGGCAUAUACAGCUGAGCAGGUCUCAACUGCUGCCUGCCAACAGCCAUGGUAAAAUGCCCCUGUCCAAGAGGUGUCCUACCUUCAGAGAUGAUAAAAUGUGGGAGGAAAGUACUGCUUAGAAUUGAUGAAAUAUUUACGGACCCCUUUAGGAGAUUCCCAAUGCAUAUUAGCAUAUUAAAGGUGGGAGGAAGCCCCACAGUAAAGAAACCAUCUUCCCUGAUUUAGCCAACGUAUUGGACCAUACAACCUUCUUUACAAGUUAACACAUAUCAACAUGUUGGAGUGUGCUGAAAUAGAACCUGACAAAUCUGAGCAUUACAGAGUAGUUAGAGGAGAUUUUUGCAGUUCCUUUAUGAUCAAGCAGCAAUAAAGAGAAGGAAGACUGGCUUCAUGGGGUUCAGGAUAUGCUAUCCCCAAAUAUGGGAUCUUAGCAUAUUGAAUAUUUUAACCUGGAGGAGUUUGAGAAAGGGUCAUUCUGAGCUCCCCUGCUCCCAACUCUUCCCCUGAAACAGGUCAUGAAAUCCUUAUCCUCCCUAUACCCCUACGAGAGAAGCAUCCUUAUCUCCAAAGACAAAGGGAUGUCCAGGAGAAUCCUAACAUACAGGCCUUGCUAAGUUUCCCCCAGGUUAGUUCACUUACCUCGUAUUUUUUAACCCAUCAUGUUUCUAUACCACUGCCCACUCUUUGUCAAACCCAGAAUAAAGAUACACAGGUCUAGCUGUUAUCUUCAGGUCUUCCUUUCCUUAUGAAGGCCUCUACAUCACGUAAAACCUGUAUUCAAUACAUCUGUGUGCUUCUUUCCUGUUAAUCUUUGUCAGCUUAAUUUUCAGACCCAGCCAGGGACUCUAAGAGAGUUAAGGAAAACUUUUUUCUCUUCUACAGCCCUGUUUGGGAUCAAAGACGGAAAAGUAGCCCCAGAGAAUUCCUAGAGUCUAGUGCUGAGUCAGUCUCUCCAUACUUUUGAGGAAAAUACUUGCAUUGAUCUCAGCCCAGGGUACUCAUCAUGAUGAGACUAACUCCUUAGACCUGGUCAAAUUCUAGUUUCAUAACAAACAUUAUUGAGGUCUCAAUGUAACAAGCCCUGAGCUCAGCAGCAGAGCUACGAAACCAAACGAUUGUGGAAGUUCCCUUUCAUAAUCUGUAAAAAGGUAAUAGUAACAACACAAUAAUAGUGUUAUUGUCCACGUGCAAUGAAGGAAUGUAUGUAAAGCACUUAAUUACAGUGCCCGUUACAGAUUGUUGCAAGGUUCGUUCCAGUGAGGAAGAUGGAAAGUAAAUGUAAGAAAUGCUGACGAAGCAAGGGC